rnacentral:rRNA from 1 species
AGUGAACGCUGGCGGCAGGCCUAACACAUGCAAGUCGAGCGGCAGCGCGUCCGACCACCCUCGGGCGGUCGGAUGGCGGCGAGCGGCGGACGGGUGAGGAAUGCAUCGGAAUCUGCCUCGUUGUGGGGGAUAACGUAGGGAAACUUACGCUAAUACCGCAUACGACCUACGGGUGAAAGUGGGGGACCUUCGGGCCUCACGCGAUGAGAUGAGCCGAUGCCGGAUUAGCUAGUUGGCGGGGUAAAGGCCCACCAAGGCGACGAUCCGUAGCUGGUCUGAGAGGAUGAUCAGCCACACUGGAACUGAGACACGGUCCAGACUCCUACGGGAGGCAGCAGUGGGGGAAUAUUGGACAAUGGGGGGCAACCCUGAUCCAGCCAUGCCGCGUGUGUGAAGAAGGCCUCGGUUGUAAG